UGCUCAUCUACUCGGCGCCGCUGAACGAUAACGCCUAAGCCGUAAGCUAUUAGUUUCUGUGCUGUUGUGAGGUAUUUUGUCGACAAAGAUGCAUUGUAGGUGGCCGAUUUCCAUUUUUGUAGCACUGGCUGUCGGACUACAUGCUAUCGUGGUUACGAAUUGUACCAAAAGUGAUGUUUAUGUCCGCACAAAUAAUGGUUCUUGUCUUUACCAUAACUUGACCGUAGAAGAUAAAAACCACGUGACAUUGAAAUGGCCUUGCGCAAGAGUUUAUUGUAGUGUGACAUAUGGCAUGGUUACAGUAUAUGGGUGCCCCCUUGAGGAUUAUUAUACUAAAAGUAUACUACAAUAUCCGGGCGAUGAGUGGCCUUUCUGCUGCGCAAGACGGAAGCACUUAAUUAUACAUGAAACGACAACAACAACUACCACACCAGAGCCUACUACGACUACUACUGCAUCGACAACAACAACUACUACCACAGAGCUUACUACAACUAGUACUGAAUCGACAACUGCCACAGAGCGUACUACGACUAGUAGUGAACCGACAACAACUUCAGCAACUGCCACACCAGAGCCUGCUAAUGAUGUAGGUGAUAUGUAAACUCAAAGUAGUGAUUAAGCAGUAGUACUAGUAAGAAUAUAGUACGUGCCCUCGUGACACGAAAGUCCGUUGCGGUGAAGUUUGGUAUUAUUAUACAAGCAAAUAAAUUUUUUCUAUGCAAUUUGUUUCUAAGUGAAUAUGAAGCUUCUCACUAAAUAAAAAGCUCAGAGCCCUUC